UACGUAGGGCGCAAGCGUUGUCCGGAAUUAUUGGGCGUAAAGAGCUCGUAGGCGGCUUGUCACGUCGGGUGUGAAAGCCCGGGGCUUAACCCCGGGUCUGCAUUCGAUACGGGCAGGCUAGAGUGUGGUAGGGGAGAUCGGAAUUCCUGGUGUAGCGGUGAAAUGCGCAGAUAUCAGGAGGAACACCAGUGGCGAAGGCGGCACUCUGGGCCGGUACUGACGCUGAGGAGCGAAAGCGUGGGGAGCGAACAGG
rnacentral:rRNA from 1 species